rnacentral:rRNA from 1 species
ACCGGCAGCUCAAGUGGUGGCCAUUAUUAUUGGGCCUAAAGCGUUCGUAGCCGGUUGGAAAAGGCUAGGGGGAAAUCCCGCAGCUUAACUGUGGGACUUGCUGGAGAUACUAUCAGACUUGAGGUCGGGAGAGGUUAGGGGUACUCCCAGGGUAGGGGUGAAAUCCUAUAAUCCUGGGAGGACCACCUGUGGCGAAGGCGCCUAACUGGAACGAACCUGACGGUGAGUAACGAAAGCCAGGGGCGCGAACCU